rnacentral:pre_miRNA from 1 species
GGACUAUUCCCUCCGUUUGGAAUUACUCGUCCAAAAAAUGAAUGUAUCUAGAUGUAUUUUAGUUGUAGAUACAUCCAUUUUUGUGAUAAGUAAUUCUGAACGGAGGGAGUACAAG